rnacentral:rRNA from 1 species
GAUGAACGCUGGCGGCGUGCCUAAUACAUGCAAGUCGAGCGAACGGACGAGAAGCUUGCGUCUCUGAUGUUAGCGGAGGACGGGUGAGUAACACGUGGAUCACCUACCUAUAAGACUGGGAUAACUUCGGGAAACCGGAGAUAAUACCGGAUAAUAUUUUGAACCGCAUGGUUCAAUAGUGAAAGACGGUCUUGCUGUCACUUAUAGAUGGAUCCGGGCUGCAUUAGCUGGUUGGUAAGGUAACGGCUUACCAAGGCAACGAUGCAUAGCCGACCUGCGAGACGGGUCGCCCACCUUGGAACGUGACCGCGGACCUUGCUCCUGCGGUAGGGAGCAGAAGGCUAUGUUCGGCAAUGGUCGGGAACCUUGCGGAGCGGCGGCGCGUGAGAGGUGGAAGCCUUCGGAUCGGAAAACUCUGUUAUUAGGGAAGAACAGAUUUGUAAGUUACUGAGCACAGCGUGACGGUACCGAAUCAAAAAGCCACGGCUAACUACGUG